UACGUAGGGCGCAAGCGUUGUCCGGAAUUAUUGGGCGUAAAGAGCUCGUAGGCGGUUUGUCGCGUCUGCUGUGAAAACGCGAGGCUUAACCUCGCGCCUGCAGUGGGUACGGGCAGACUAGAGUGCGGUAGGGGAGACUGGAAUUCCUGGUGUAGCGGUGGAAUGCGCAGAUAUCAGGAGGAACACCGAUGGCGAAGGCAGGUCUCUGGGCCGUUACUGACGCUGAGGAGCGAAAGCAUGGGGAGCGAACAGG
rnacentral:rRNA from 1 species